UACGUAGGGACCGAGCGUUGUCCGGAAUCAUUGGGCGUAAAGAGCGUGUAGGCGGCCUUUUAAGUCCUGCGUGAAAUCCUGCGGCUCAACCGCAGACGGUCGUGGGAAACUGGAAGGCUAGAGUGCGGGAGAGGAGAGUGGAAUUCCCGGUGUAGCGGUGAAAUGCGCAGAUAUCAGGAGGAACACCAAUGGCGAAGGCAGCUCGCUGGGACGGUACUGACGCUGAGACGCGAAAGCGUGGGGAGCAAACAGG
rnacentral:rRNA from 1 species